GGCUCCGUGGCUUAAUGGUUACGGCUUCUGCCUCACAAGCAGAAGGUUCAGGAAUCAAAUCCCGGCCGGUACCU
rfam:Culex pipiens quinquefasciatus supercont3.59 genomic scaffold, whole genome shotgun sequence.